rnacentral:rRNA from 1 species
CCUACGGGGGGCAGCAGUGGGGAAUAUUGGGCAAUGGAGGCAACUCUUACCCAGCAAUGCCGCGUGAAUGAAGAAGGUCUUCGGAUUGUAAAGCUCUUUUAUUGGGGACGAAAAAACUUACGGUACCCAAUUAAUAAGCCCCGGCUAACUACGUGCCAGCAGCCGCGGUAAUACGUAGGGGGCAAGCCUUGUUCGGAAUGACUGGGGGUAAAGGGUGUGUAGGGUGUGUAGUAAGGUAGAAUUGAAAUACCUAGAGCUUAACUCAGGUGGUGCUUCUAAAACUGGUAUACUUGAGUGCAGUAGAGGAAAGUGGAAUUCCUAGUGUAGCGGUGGAAUGCGUAGAUAUUAGGAGGAACAUCAGUGGCGAAGGCGACUUUCUGGACUGUAACUGACGCUGAGGCACGAAAGUGUGGGGAGCAAACAGGAUUAGAUACCCGAGUAGUC